rnacentral:rRNA from 1 species
ACGCUCGACACCUAGGAGGCAGCAGUUGGGAAUAUUGGACAAUGGAGGGAACUCUGAUCCAGUGACGCCGCGUGAAGGAAGAAGGUCUUCGGAUUGUAAACUUAUUUUAUCAGGGAAGAAAGAAAUGACAGUACCUGAAGAAGAAGGACCGGCUAACUACGUGCCAGCAGCCGCGGUAAUCUGAGCGGGCUGGCAAGGC